UUUCUGCUCUAUUAUACUGCAUUCGUCAUGUAUAAAAAGGAGAUUUUUCUUUCAAAACUAUGCCAUCUGGAAAAUAACUGAAAUCUAUUUGCCAUGACAGUGCCUUGUUGAGAGACUUGAUACUUUUUUAUGCAUUUACCUUUUCGCACCCUGAAACAGUGCCUGGAAGUACACUUCCUUUUUUCCAUCUUUCUAAAGUACAUGUUAAUUACGCAAUGUAGAGAGGCAAUCCCAUAACAGCUAGUUUUGAACUCUUGUGUGUCUUUUCUUUAUUUUCAUUUCUUGUGCAUUGUUCUAAAUACAUGUAUUUGGAUAUCAUUGUGUAAGUAUAAUAUGUUUAAAAAUGUGUCAGGACAUGUUCCUGGGGUAAAUCAAAAGCAGAACAGCAACAUCUCCUUUCGUUUAAUAAUAAAUGUUGCGAAGAGCAGGAGCAUGAACAGUACAUGUAUUGACAUACAGUGGAGUUAUAAAACAAAUUCUACAGGACGACAGCCAGAUUUUCUUCAGUUUAGCUGUGCAUUAGGCUUAGAGAGAUUGCUCAAAUAGAGAGAAAAGAAGAAAAAAACAGUGGUUCUAUUUUCUUUCACUUUGUUGCUGUUUUUGGAUUAACCUUUUUGGGUUUAAGUUGACUCCACUGUAUUUAGCUUAAACGGAUAUAAGGGCAUAUUAAUUGCCAGAAUCUCCCUGUUUUGCCCUCCUACUAGACAGGCUUUCUUUUCCAAUCUGUUCCAUCGGCCAUCUGAUGUGCAAUAGGAUCUAGGAUGUGAGAUUCGUCAGAUAAUUUUCCCGAUUUUUAAAAGUAUAAUUGAAGUUACUUAUUCAAAGGUAAUGUAUGGGCUGUUAUAAUCUCGCAUUGGCCAAAGUCAGUAAUUUGUUGUUGUCUCUUCAUGUAGAUAUCUUUGUUCUACUUUGAAAAAGUUGCACCUUUGAUUGUGAUUUGCUUCAUUAAGGAGUAAGGUUAGUUAUUUUUAAGACUAUGCAUACAUUCAGUUCAAGGGCAUUAGAAACAGGAAAACAGGAUGAAAAAAUGUUGCCUGUAAAUUUCAAUUUUGCUGUUCUAGUAAUCCCUGCUUCUACUUUACAUCUUCCUCUCCAAGAUAGUAUGACAAAAAUUAUGACAGUAGUUAGUGGUGGAUUAAUUGGUCGUCUCUCAACACCUCUGGCAUGUACAUGAUGGAUCAGACCAGGGUUGUUUUCAGAUUUAUGUCAAUAUUCAUUAUUAAACCUCUAUUAUCCUGCAAUUUCGGUUUACUGCUGGGCUGAGUACGCUUCCAUGAUACCAUCAAAUACUA